rnacentral:rRNA from 1 species
UCUCGCGUCAGGAUAUGCCUAGGUGGGAUUAGCUAGUUGGUGAGGUAAUGGCUCACCAAGGCGACGAUCCCUAGCUGGUCUGAGAGGAUGAUCAGCCACACUGGAACUGAGACACGGUCCAGACUCCUACGGGAGGCAGCAGGGGGGAAUAUUGCACAAUGGGCGCAAGCCUGAUGCAGCCAUGCCGCGUGUGUGAAGAAGGCCUUCGGGUUGUAAAGCACUUUCAGUCGUGAGGAAGGUGGUGUAGUUAAUAGCUGCAUUANUUGACGUUAGCGACAGAAGAAGCACCGGCUAACUCCGUGCCAGCAGCCGCGGUAAUACGGAGGGUGCGAGCGUUAAUCGGAAUUACUGGGCGUAAAGCGCAUGCAGGUGGUUUGUUAAGUCAGAUGUGAAAGCCCGGGGCUCAACCUCGGAAUAGCAUUUGAAACUGGCAGACUAGAGUACUGUAGAGGGGGGUAGAAUUUCA